rnacentral:rRNA from 1 species
UGGGGAAUAUUGCACAAUGGGCGCAAGCCUGAUGCAGCCAUGCCGCGUGUAUGAAGAAGGCCUUCGGGUUGUAAAGUACUUUCAGCGGGGAGGAAGGGAGUAAAGUUAAUACCUUUACUCAUUGACGUUACCCGCAGAAGAAGCACCGGCUAACUCCGUGCCAGCAGCCGCGGUAAUACGGAGGGUGCAAGCAUUAAUCGGAAUUACUGGGUGUAAAGCGCACGCAGGCGGUUUGUUAAGUCAGAUGUGAAAUCCCCGGGCUCAACCUGGGAACUGCAUCUGAUACUGGCAAGCUUUAGUCUCGUAGAGGGGGGUAGAAUUCCAGGUGUAGCGGUGCAAUGCGUAGAGAUCUGGAUGAAUACCGGUGGCGAAGGCGGCCCCCUGGACGAAGACUGACGCUCAGGUGCGAAAGCGUGGGGAGCAAACAGG